AUACAAAUAAAGUUGGUCUGCGGC
rnacentral:siRNA from 1 species